rnacentral:lncRNA from 1 species
UCCUCUUGUUUUUUCUGAACUAUCAUGGCCUCCUCUUCUUCUUCCUUCCUCCUCCAUCCUCCUCUUCCUCCUCCGUCCUUCUACUGUCAUGAUACCACCGCCAUUACUCCAGACAUUAACUCCACUGCCACCGCCAUUUAUAACACUAAUAACAACAACGCCAACCACUUCUUUUACUCUACAAACCAACAGCCAAGACCUGAAGAGGAAAUAAUUUUUAGUUUUACCAGAGGGAGGAAGAGAAGGAUGGUGAGGAAAAGGACAGCUUCUGAAAUAGACGACGAACCAUCUCCGUUUGAUCGGGGCUCUCACUCUUACCACCAUCACGUCGCCGUCCCUCCUCAAUCCUCCACAGUUUUCGACGGGGAUUUGCAAGGACAACCCAACAUUAUCAAUCCUUUUCUUAACAUCCAAUCGCCAUCGUCUCUCUAUC